rnacentral:rRNA from 1 species
CCUACGGGUGGCUGCAGUAGGGAAUCUUCCACAAUGGGCGCAAGCCUGAUGGAGCAACACCGCGUGCGUGAAGACGGGUUUCGGCUCGUAAAGCUCUUUUUUUGGAGAAGAACGUGCGUGAGAGUAACUGGUCACGCAGUGACGGUAUCCAACCAGAAAGUCUCGGCUAACUACGUGACAGCAGCCGCGGUAAUACGUAGGUGGCAAGCGUUAUCCGGAUUUAUUGGGCGUAAGGGGAGCGCAGGCGGUUGCUUAGAGCUGAUGUGAAAGCCUUCGGCUUAACCGAAGAAGUGCAUCGGAAUACGGGUGACUUGAGUGCAGAAGAGGACAGUGGGACUGCAUGUGGUGCGGGGGAAAGCGU